GAUGAACGCUGGCGGGGUGCCUAAUACAUGCAAGUCGAGCGAACGGACGAGAAGCUUGCUUCUCUGAUGUUAGCGGCGGACGGGUGAGUAACACGUGGAUAACCUACCUAUAAGACUGGGAUAACUUCGGGAAACCGUAGCUAAUACCGGAUAAUAUUUUGAACCGCAUGGUUCAAAAGUGAAAGACGGUCUUGCUGUCACUUAUAGAUGGAUCCGCGCUGCAUUAGCUAGUUGGUAAGGUAACGGCUUACCAAGGCAACGAUGCAUAGCCGACCUGAGAGGGUGAUCGGCCACACUGGAACUGAGACACGGUCCAGACUCCUACGGGAGGCAGCAGUAGGGAAUCUUCCGCAAUGGGCGAAAGCCUGACGGAGCAACGCCGCGUGAGUGAUGAAGGUCUUCGGAUCGUAAAACUCUGUUAUUAGGGAAGAACAUAUGUGUAAGUAACUGUGCACAUCUUGACGGUACCUAAUCAGAAAGCCACGGCUAACUACGUG
rnacentral:rRNA from 1 species